AGCGGGGUGGGCUAGCUUGGUUUAGGCUGCAGGGCUCAUAACCCUGAGAUCGUUAGUUCAAAUCUAACCCCCGCUACCA
rnacentral:tRNA from 1 species